ACUCCUACGGGAGGCAGCAGUAGGGAAUCUUCCACAAUGGACGCAAGUCUGAUGGAGCAACGCCGCGUGAGUGAAGAAGGUUUUCGGAUCGUAAAACUCUGUUACAGAGAA
rnacentral:rRNA from 1 species